rnacentral:rRNA from 1 species
UACGGAGGGUGCAAGCGUUAUCCGGAUUUACUGGGUUUAAAGGGUGCGCAGGCGGAUAUGUAAGUCAGUGGUGAAAUCUUUGGGCUUAACCCGAAAAUUGCCAUUGAUACUAUAUAUCUUGAAUGCUGUGGAGGUAAGCGGAAUAUGUCAUGUAGCGGUGAAAUGCUUAGAUAUGACACAGAACACCGAUUGCGAAGGCAGCUAGCUAGACCGACAUUGACGCUGAGGCACGAAAGCGUGGGGAUCAAACAGG